AGCGCGGCCCGGCUGUGUCCCUGCGUCCCAGGGGCUGGGCGCGCCCGGCCUGCCCAGCGGGGGAUGCGGGGCGCUGUCACUUCCUCCCAGCAGCCGGGCAGGGGCGGGGGGCUGGCCGCGCGUCGCAUGGUAUGUGGAGUUCGGGGGACGGCACGGGGACGACGGGGUUGUCAGGCGCGGAGCCAUUGUCCGACGACGGCUCCUGAUAGGCCGCCUGGAUGGGGCGCGCUUGGCCGCGUUCCCGCGUCACACACCGGCUCCAGCUGCGGGAGAGCCCGUCCCACCCCAACUCCCCAGCCGCCCCUCUGAAGUGUUCCGGUGUCACCGUGGCCACAAGGAGGCAGGGGACGGGGGCUUCCUGAAGGAGGCCCCCUAAGGGGAAGGGGGCUACAAGGCUGGCCAGAGUGCUGGCCGCGCGGCUGUGCACAGGGCCUUGAGCCCCUCCGGUCGUCAAGCCUUGCUUGAAAUGCGUAAAUGCGGAAAGGUGAAGUGGCUGACCCGGCUCACACCACUUUAAGUAGCGGAGUGGGGUUCCUAGCCAGGCCUAUGGGACUCCCACUGGAGCCUUUCCCCCUCUGGGGCUGGGGCUGGACCCACAGGCUGCCGGAGCAGGCAGAAGGGGAGGGGCCCAAGGCCCAGACUCCAGGGCCUCGUCUGGAUCAUCAACCCGGCUUUGCCCAUUCAGCGCAGGCCUCCGUUUCCAGGCCUGUCUCCCCAUCCACACCGUCUCUCAGGGUUUGUUUUGGGAGAUGUGGGGGUGGGGCAUGUGGGGAGGAUGGAAAGGGGCUGUGAAGGGAACCCACUGGAGAUUCACUUCCUUCCUUAUUUCACACUCUAGGCUAGGAAUUCCUGCCCUCUGGAAAGGACCCAGACAUUUAGGAAUUUCCCGCUGGGCAGGGGCUUCCCUCCUGCCUCACUGGGGCCUCUGCUCCUCCCCUCUUUUGUUUGGCCUCUUUCCCCGCCCCCUGAUCACUCCGCCACCCCUUCUGCAGCCUAGUAACAGGUCUUCCAGGACCAGGGGGGCCAGCGGAGUGGGGGCGGCUGUGGGUUCAGGUGCCCUGGGAACUGAGAACUUCCUCUUCCAGAGUGCUGGCCAAGCGCCAGGUUUGCACUCGGAUUGCCAUCCAUCAUCCUGUCUCUGGGGAACCUGUGGGGGAGCGGAUGCGGGAGGCCGCCAGGAUGCAGGAUGGGGCGUUAAGGCUGCCAACCCCACCCCUUCUCUCCUAGGACUCCAGGGAUGACAUUUUUCAGAUGAGUCCACAGAGCCGCGGUGUCCCGGGGCUGGGAGGGUCCUUCCACCGGCACCGCGCAGAUGGAGUUCAUCCACACAGGGGCGAUGAGGAUACGGGCUGAGGGGCCCUGGCCGGUGGCUGCCUUCACGGCUGGCUGCUGUGGCCUCAUUGUGCAAUCCCCACAAGCCUCUCCUGGCCACCCUUGUCCCCCACUGACGGCAGUGGCCCGCCCAGAGCACCGGCUGGGGAUUGGGAAACGAGGCUGCUGCCUUGGACUUGUGUCUGCACCAGUCACUUCCCCUCUCUAAGCUCAGGCAUGAGGGUCAAUGGUAACAUACGUGAAGUCCUCAAGACAAGGAAAGUCUUCUGAAAAUGGGGCAGCAUGGAGGCCCAAGGGAUGACAGCCAAUGGGGCCCAUAGGGCAGGAGCAGUCCUUACCCUCUUCUCGCAGAUGCAGAAAGCAGUUCCCAAGAGGCCAGGCACUUCCAGAGGAGCCAAAGGCCAGCCUACGGCUCCUCCCCAGCAGGAAGCCAGCAUCACAUGCUGGGUGGCGAUGUUUGUGACCAGUGGCCAGCGGCUGUCCCAUUCCCCAGCUCCCCAGGGCACAGGCCAGGGGCAGUGAGCAGGGGGCUCUGCCUGGUGGGGAGGGCAGCAGACAGGAGCAGACUGGCAAUGACCUCUCCAUUUAGCCUAGAAGGCGAGUGUGCCAGCACCUGGCCAGGAGCCACGGUCAGCUCCUCGCACGCAACCCAGGGCCUCAGAGGCUACGACACAUGGGAUGUUCCCUCCCUUCUGUCUGCCAGAGCAAUGACAGCUGACUGUUUAAAAAUUAUUAUGGUACAAUAUACAUAAUGCAAUUUAUAAUCUUUUAAGUGCACAGUUCAGUGGCAUUAAGUAUAUUCACAGGGUCGUGCAACCAACAGCACCCUCCACCUGCAGAAAUCGUCACCUGGCAAAACGGAAACUCUACCCACUAUGCACUAACUCCUCUUUCCCUCUCCUCCGGGCCCUGGCAACCGCCAUUCUACCUUUCGUCUCUGUGGUCUUGACUAUUCUAUGUACUGCAAAUAAAUAGAGUCACACAGCGUUUAUCCUUUUGUGUCUGCAUCUGCCAGGAGGGCGUUGUCAGGUUUAUUUCACUCAGCAUAAUGCCUUCAAGAUUCAUUCAUGUGGUAGCAGGUAUCAGAAUUCCCUUCCUUUUUGAGGCUGAAUCAUAUUCCAUUGUAUGGAUGGGCUACACUGUGCAUUCAUUCAUCUCUCUGUGCACACUGGGAUUGCUGCUACCUCUUGGCUGCUGUGUACAGUGCUGCUAUAAAACAUGGGUGUGUAUACCAGGUGUGGUGGCUCAUGCCUGUAAUCCCAGCACUUUGGGAGGCCCAGGCGGGUGGAUCGCUUGAGCUCUGGAACUCAAGAUCAACCUGGGCAACAUAGUGAGACCCUGUCUCCACCAAAAAUACAAACAAUUAGCCAGGUGUGAUGGGGUGCACCUGUAGCCCCAGCUACUUGGGAGGCUGAGGUGGGAGAACCACCUGAGCCUGGCAGGUUAAGGCUGCAGUGAGCCAUGAUUGCACCACUGCACUCCAGCCUGGGCAACAGAGUAAGACCCUGUCUCACAACAAAAACAAACAAACAAAAGAACACGGGUAUGCAAAUAUCUGUUCACGUUCCUGCUUUCAAUUCUUUUGGGUAGACUGCUGAUGUUUGUUGAUCUCCACCGGUGCCAGGCGUUGUUCUAAGUGUUUUGUAUACAUUAGCCGAUUUCAUCGGACAGCCUAAUGAAGUGGGCACUAACUCUCUUCUUUUCACAGAUGAGGAAACUGAGGCACAGAGCGGUCCAGUCAUGUGCCAGCCAGUGGUGAAGCUAGGAGCCCCUUCACUAAGCACAGUGUUAUCUUGCUUCUCCUCCAACGUUGCUCAGCGUCUGAAAUUCAGCUUGAUGUAUUUAAGUCAGACACAAGAAAGGACUUCUAGACCAAGGAGUUUAGAUGCAGAAAUGGGAGGUACUAUCCUUCACUCCUUUUUCACCUUGAAAAAAAUUUUUCCCAAUCUUUUUCAUUACCUCAUUUAGUCCAUUAAUUAAACCUCCACCUGCGCCCUGUAGGGCAGCAGAAAAGGCCGAUUCAGCACGGACCAGAGAAUAACACAGGGAGGCACAUUACUGGCCCUCUCUCUGCAUUCUUGAAGGCACCUAGAGGAAAGCUCUCUAGAAGAGGGGCAGUUGGGGCUGGGCAUGGUGGCUCACCCCUGUAAUCCCAGCAUUUUGGGAGGCCAAGGCGGGCGGAUCACCUGAGGUCGGGAGUUCGAGGCCAGCCUGACCAACAUGGAGAAAUCCCGUCUCUACUAAAAAUACAAAAUACAAAAUACUAAAAAUACAAAAUUAGCCAGGUGUGGUGGUGCAUGCCUGUAAUCUCAGCUACUCGGGAGCCUGAGGCAGGAGAAUCACUUGAACCUGGGAGGCAGAGGUUGCGGUAAGCUGAGAUCACGCCAUUGCACUCCAGCCUGGGCAACAAGAGUGAAACUCCAUCUCAAAAAAAAAAAAAAAAAAAAAAAAGGAAGAAGAGGGCAGUCGAAGGCAGAAGGGAGAGCAACCUGGAGCAGGGCCCAGGGUGGUGGGUGAUCACGAGGGGCAGAGGGCCUAUAGGUGGCUGGGCCUGGCCAGAGGCGUGGCUGCAGCUGCUAGCCUUGGUCACAAGAGUGGUGCUGACCUCAGGGUGGGUCACCUAGCCCCUCCCCCAGCAGCCCGGGCCCACUUCCCUCUGCAUGAUGACUUGCACUUCCCACUGCCCUAACCCUGGUUCCCAGGACCCCAACACUCACCCUGCUUCUCCCUUUCACUUCUCAGGCUGUCACCAGCCCUGAGACUCUUCCUGGGGAUGCCCUACUGUCUGCAUGGGGUGGGGCCAUUGUGUUCCCUGUUGACAGAUGAGGAAACUGAGUCUCAGAGAAGCAGGCACAGAGGUUGAGGCCUUAAGCCUGAGGUCCCUGCUGCCACCCAGCCUUCCCCAAGAGGAGCAGUGACUUGCUCAGCAUCACCUACAGCUCCAUGAGACCCUGGCUGAAGUCUGCUGACCUCCUCCGGGACUGUGGGAUGGCCAGGACAGCUGACCAGGAGCCACUUUCACGGCACAUCCCCUCCUGCAAAGGAGGGAGCAUGAGGACCCUCAGCAGCCCAGACAUGUACCAUCAGGCGGUGCCCCACCCCAGCCCCACGGGACACUGUCGAUUUGUUGAUAGCCCCCCUGCCCCUUUCCUCCUAGGAGGAAGCCAGGCCAAGGAUUCCUUUUCGUAUUUGGCAGAUGGAGAAACCGAGGCCUGAUGAGGUAUGGCUUCUGCAGCUAUUCCAUGAGCCUGACCCACUGUCCUUGCUGGAGAAGGGCCAUGGGAGAGAAAGCAGGGCCUAUGGGGCAGCAGGACCCCAACCCCAGUGGCCUUCCAAAUAGUGUGGUGUAGGAGGGCUUCCUGGAGGAGUGGGUCCUGGUGGAACUCAUGGGCAUAGGAAGUUCUCUAUGCCAGCUGCAAGCGGCCACUCUCCUCCCCAAGUUCAGCUCUCCUAAAACUCUAGUCUUUCACCACAGCUCUCUGGUACUGAUGCAAAAUGCCUAAGUGCAGCUCCGGUCCCUUCUGCCUGGGGUUCCUGUAGAACAUGGGCCCUUCUCGGAGCCGGCAUAAUUUCCAGGAAAACAGCUGCAGAGCUACGGCCUAUGCAGGGUUCUGCCAAUGACAGAGGCCAGUCACGUGGCAGGACCUCUCUUGGGAAGCCCAGUGCUGCUUCAUGGGGCUGUUUGGAG
rnacentral:lncRNA from 1 species